rnacentral:misc_RNA from 1 species
GGGAGAUGAGUAAUGCCUUGAAAGCCUGUCUAAGCCCAACUUGAAGGAAACCAUUAGAAUCAAGUAAAAUAGUAGCAUAAGAUGUGCGUUUGUCUUCUCUAUAAAUGCCAGCAUCAGUCAUUGCACUUGAAGCAUCCCUCUAAAAGCUUGCUCCACGAAGCAUACUGUGCAUAACGAGACUAGGAAAAAUAUUCAUAGCAACACGAGUUAGC